rnacentral:rRNA from 1 species
GACGAACGCUGGCGGCGUGCUUAACACAUGCAAGUCGAACGCUGAAGCCCUUUCGGGGGUGGAUGAGUGGCGAACGGGUGAGUAACACGUGGGUAAUCUGCCCUGUACUUCGGGAUAAGCCUUGGAAACGGGGUCUAAUACCGGAUAGGACCUGUCCUCGCAUGGGGGUGGGUGGAAAGUUCCGGCGGUAUGGGAUGAGCCCGCGGCCUAUCAGCUUGUUGGUGGGGUAGUGGCCUACCAAGGCGACGACGGGUAGCCGGUCUGAGAGGAUGAUCAGCCACACUGGGACUGAGACACGGCCCAGACUCCUACGGGAGGCAGCAGUGGGGAAUUGUUCGCAAUGGGCGCAAGCCUGACGACGCAACGCCGCGUGGAGGAUGAAGGUCUUCGGAUUGUAAACUCCUGUUGAUCGGGACGAAAAGCUUCGACCUAAUACGUCGGAGACUGACGGUACCGGUUGAGGAAGCCACGGCUAA